rnacentral:rRNA from 1 species
CUACGGGCGGCAGCAGUGGGGAAUAUUGGGCAAUGGGCGCAAGCCUGACCCAGCAACGCCGCGUGAGGGAAGAAGGUUUUCGGAUUGUAAACCUCUGUCCUUGGGGACGAAGAAGUGACGGUACCCAAGGAGGAAGCUCCGGCUAACUACGUGCCAGCAGCCGCGGUAAUACGUAGGGAGCAAGCGUUGUCCGGAAUUACUGGGCGUAAGGGGUGCGUAGGCGGCAUAUUAAGUCAGGUGUGGAAUACUCGGGCUCAACCCGGGGGCUGCAUUUGAAACUGAUAUGCUUGAGUGUGAGAGAGGAAAGUGGAAUUCCUAGUGUAGCGGUGGAAUGCGUAGAUAUUAGGAGGAACACCAGUGGCGAAGGCGACUUUCUGGCUCAUAACUGACGCUGAGGCACGAAAGCGUGGGGAGCAAACAGGAUUAGAUACCCUCGUAGUC